rnacentral:rRNA from 1 species
UACGGAGGGUGCAAGCGUUAAUCGGAAUUACUGGGCGUAAAGUGCACGUAGGUGGUUUUGUAAGUCGGAUGUGAAAGCCCUGGGCUUAACCUGGGAAUUGCAUUCGAUACUGCUUGACUAGAGUAUGGUAGAGGGAAGUGGAAUUUCCGGUGUAGCGGUGAAAUGCGUAGAUAUCGGCAGGAACACCAGUGGCGAAGGCGACUUCCUGGGCCAAUACUGACACUGAGGUGCGAAAGCGUGGGUAGCAAACAUG